rnacentral:lncRNA from 1 species
CGCCGACCGCCGACCCGCUGACGAUAGCUCUGGUUUCAGGCCACAUCACGGCGGAAAAUCGGUGUAUUUCAACUCGCCUCCUCAUCCUUGACCUACCUCUUCUCUUCAUUCGUCCCAUCUCCGAACGAGGAUGGAAAAUCGAAGCUCCAAAGCUUCCGGCUUUCCGACUGUUUUCAAGAAAUUUCCGGCAACGAUUAGCCAUGCAUGAGGUUUGAAACUUCGUCUACUCAUCGAGGUUUACGUCGUGAUAUAGUUAGUUUUCAUUUUGGGUUAAGUUUUGAAGAUAUGGGUGUUUGGGGUUUCCGGCCACCGCCGAUUCG